rnacentral:tRNA from 1 species
AGUAAUAGUAGCUCAAAAGGAGCAUUGGUCUUGUAAAUCAAAGGUUGAGUAUUUUUACUCUUAUUACUAC